GACGAAGGAUGCAAGCGUUAUCCGGAUUCAUUGGGUUUAAAGGGAGCGUAGGUGGUCUGAUAAGUCAGUGGUGAAAUCUUUGGGCUUAACCCAAAAAUUGCCAUUGAUACUGUUGGUCUUGAGUAUAGUUGCCGUUGGCGGAAUAUGACAUGUAGUGGUGAAAUACAUAGAGAUGUCAUAGAACACCGAUUGCGAAGGCAGCUGACGAAACUAUAACUGACACUGAGGCUCGAAAGUGUGGGGAUCAAACAGG
rnacentral:rRNA from 1 species